GAUGAACGCUAGCUACAGGCUUAACACAUGCAAGUCGAGGGACCGGCGCACGAGUGAGUAACACGUAUCCAACCUGCCCUUUACUCGGGGCUAGCCUUUCGAAAGAAAGAUUAAUAACCGAUAUAAAGGAUGGGGAUGCGGUCCAUUAGGUUGUUGGUGAGGUAACGGUUAGCCAAGACUUCGAUGGAUAGGGGUUCUGAGAGGAAGGUCCCCCACAUUGGAACUGCGACACGGUCCAAACUCCUACGGUAGGGAGCAGUGAGGAAUAUUGGUCAAGGGGCGGUAGCCUGAACCAGCCAAGUAGCGUGAAGGAUGAAGGCUUAUGGGUCGUAAACUUCUUUUAUAUAAGAAUAUGUAUUAUAUGAAUAAUGAUCGGCUAACUCCGUGCCAGCAGCCGCGGUAAUAC
rnacentral:rRNA from 1 species